CUGCGGACGCGUGGGUGGGGCCGGAGACUCUCCCCGCCUCGCACUCCGGCGCAUCCCCGCACCCACGUCAGAAACGGCCGCCCGGUCGCUUCGAUUUAAUAUUAGAGGCACGUUCCUGACUGCACAGCCGCGCAGGGACAGAGAGUGGCAAGUCGUUCAUGCACAUGCACAUGGUGGACGCUCGGACUGUGAAAAGGCGGGCUCUCCAAGCUGCUUUUUCUGUUUUGAGAGAAAGAUGACGUUUAUGAGAGGAAGGGCUUAGUCCGGAGAAGCAACAAGUGCUCUGCUCCGGCUGCCAGCCGUGUCAUGGGAAAUAGUCCCGUGUUCGCUCGGAUGAAGUGAGGAUGACAGAGCCUAUCUUAGAGGGUUUGCUCUGUGCAGCCAGAGCCCGUGUCGUGCUGCGCGGCACCCGACGAGGUGCUAAGAGGCCGCUCCCCGCGGUCGCCUCGGCGGCGGCGGCUGUCGCCGGGGGAGCGCCCGGAGCAGACGUGCCCUGCGGGCGCCAACGGGCCGGCUGGGGAGGGUACUUUUUUCAUCUGUGUCGUUCUGUACCUUCUAGAUUUCGAACCCAAUGAAUGUUUUGCCUUAAAGAAAAAUAAAAAACUUUUCUAAGUGCCA